CUAUGGUAAAGGGCUCUAGUUCCCGAUCAUCGUCACGAGAACCACUAUAAUUGUCACCUUCAUCAAGGUAAGCCAUCUCGAUUGGGGUGACUUCCCCACUCUGAUACCACCUGACGCAGCAUGAAGUUAAAAUAGAAACACAAUCCAUACACGAGUGAAAAAAUAGGGAAAAUUCUCUGCAGUAUUUUUAUUGAUUAAAAUCUGUCUCUUGAAAUUA
rnacentral:misc_RNA from 1 species